GGAGCUUUCCGUCGCCUUUUAACUGCAAAAGUGUGUUCCCGAAACGCAGCAUUUACUAGCUGUGUACUUCUUAAAUAUUUAUAUAUAAGAAAUAUACUUCUUAUAUGUGUAUAAAAAAUACUUUUUAUAUAUAUAAAUACAUAAAAAAACGUUAAAAAGCCAUAGUAUUAAAAUAUACCCAGGAGAAUACCUGUCAUCAAGGAGAAAUAAAGACGAGAGGAGGAAAGGCCGAACCACGCGUCUCCGUGUUGUCUCCACGUCGCGUUACGUUUGCGAGCGGCACCGGGAUCCGGUCGCGAGCUCACAGCGGCCACCCAAGGGCAGCUCCAGGCCUGCGAUCCGCUGCGUUUUCCCCCCGGUUCCAGCAUAAAUAACCCGGCCGUCAAGUAUGUACAGUGUCAACACUUAAUUUUUAUGAAACAGGAGUUUCUGCUAUUUAAAACAUAAAGGCACCAUAAGGAGCUGUAAUUGUUUCCACGGUUUGGGUGCGCAGCGCCCAGUGAGCGUCGCCUAAAACGCAGGGGGAUGUCUCAUCCGCGCGCAAGGACGGCCGCUUCCCCAAUUACAUAAGCGGGGACGCGGCGAGGACCGCAGCCGCCGUCUCAAGGUUGGGCCGGGGACAAAGGAGGCGCGAGCUGCUGCGGGAGGAAACGUCAAAGCUCCGGCAGCAGCUGCAAGAGGAUAAAACCAGGCAAUUUGCUGUGCUCUUUCCCCAAGCCCCUCUUCACUGCGUCGCUCCUGUUCGCUUGUAAAACUUGAGGGACAUUAGCCGAUUUGCUGGAAGCCUGAGUAUAAAACAAUAUUUUCGCGUUCACAUUAUCUUUUAUCCAGGGGGGAAAAAAAAGCUAAACGUUAUUUGCUUGACUUUACAGAUGAGGAAACAGACAAACAGAUUAAAUGACCUAUCCAAAACCCCUAGCAAGUCGGUGGCCAAGACAUGAGUACAGCCGAGAAACCCAGCUCGCGUUCUUUGCUCUAAUCAGAGAAAAUAGCUCUCACUCACUGUCUGCGUGUGCAGGAGAGAUCUACGGUGCAGAGGAAUUUUGCUUCCAGGUUUGGAUGCAAGCUGAUAAUAUUUUUUGCUGAAUCAGACUUUGCAAGUACAUGAAGUUAGAUCUGGAUGAAUGUGAACCUUGGCUGUGAAAUAGUACAUUAAAAAAGAAAUGAGAAGGAUGAAGAAAGAUCCAAGUUCAGCUGCAGUCAGUGGGAAUUUUCCUACCAG
rnacentral:lncRNA from 1 species